GAGGGCAUAGCUCAAGUGGUAGAGCACAUGCUUAGCAUGCAUAAAGUCCUGGGUUCAAUUCCCAGCAUCUCCA
rnacentral:tRNA from 1 species